rnacentral:rRNA from 1 species
UGGGGAAUUUUGCACAAUGGGGGAAACCCUGAUGCAGCGACGCCGCGUGAUUUAGAAGGCCUUCGGGUUGUAAAAAUCUUUUCUAUGGGAAGAAAAUGACAGUACCAUAGGAAUAAGGACCGGCUAAUUACGUGCCAGCAGCCGCGGUAAUACGUAAGGUCCGAGCGUUGUCCGGGAUCAUUGGGCGUAAAGGGUACGUAGGCGGGUAAGCAAGUUAGAAGUGAAAUCCUAUAGCUCAACUAUAGUAAGCUUUUAAAACUGCUCAUCUUGAGGUAUGGAAGGGAAAGUGGAAUUCCUAGUGUAGCGGUGAAAUGCGCAGAAAAUAGGAGGAAUACCGGUGGCGAAGGCGACUUUCUGACCAAAACCUGACGCUGAGGUACGAAGGCGGGGGUAGCAAACAGG